rnacentral:sRNA from 3 species
UAUCUCUCCGUACGGGGAAGGAUGAGAAGCUUCGACUAAGGUUCGAUUCGAGCGCAGCGAGAAAGCGUUGCCGCAGGCAACGACCC